rnacentral:rRNA from 1 species
GACGAACGCUGGCGGCGUGCCUAAUACAUGCAAGUAGGACGCUGAAGAGAGGAGCUUGCUCUUCUUGGAUGAGUUGCGAACGGGUGAGUAACGCGUAGGUAACCUGCCUUGUAGCGGGGGAUAACUAUUGGAAACGAUAGCUAAUACCGCAUAACAAUGGAUGACACAUGUCAUUUAUUUGAAAGGGGCAAUUGCUCCACUACAAGAUGGACCUGCGUUGUAUUAGCUAGUAGGUGAGGUAAUGGCUCACCUAGGCGACGAUACAUAGCCGACCUGAGAGGGUGAUCGGCCACACUGGGACUGAGACACGGCCCAGACUCCUACGGGAGGCAGCAGCAGGGAAUCUUCGGCAAUGGGGGCAACCCUGACCGAGCAACGCCGCGUGAGUGAAGAAGGUUUUCGGAUCGUAAAGCUCUGUUGUAAGUCAAGAACGGGUGUGAGAGUGGAAAGUUCACACUGUGACGGUAGCUUACCAGAAAGGGACGGCUAACUACGUGCCAGCAGCCGCGGUAAUACGUAGGUCCCGAGCGUUGUCCGGAUUUAUUGGGCGUAAAGCGAGCGCAGGCGGUUUGAUAAGUCUGAAGUUAAAGGCUGUGGCUCAACCAUAGUUCGCUUUGGAAACUGUCAAACUUGAGUGCAGAAGGGGAGAGUGGAAUUC